AUUGAACGCUGGCGGCAUGCUUUACACAUGCAAGUCGAACGGCAGCGGGGCUUCGGCCCGCCGGCGAGUGGCGAACGGGUGAGUAAUGCAUCGGAACGUGCCCAGUCGUGGGGGAUAACACAUCGAAAGAUGUGCUAAUACCGCAUACGUCCUGAGGGAGAAAGUGGGGGAUCUUCGGACCUCACGUGAUUGGAGCGGCCGAUGUCAGAUUAGCUAGUUGGUGAGGUAAAGGCUCACCAAGGCGACGAUCUGUAGCGGGUCUGAGAGGAUGAUCCGCCACACUGGGACUGAGACACGGCCCAGACUCCUACGGGAGGCAGCAGUGGGGAAUUUUGGACAAUGGGCGAAAGCCUGACGCAGCGACGCAGCGUGAGGGACGACGGCCUGG
rnacentral:rRNA from 1 species